CUGGCACGUGGCGGGGGCUGCGCAUGUGCGGCCCGAGGCCCUUUCCGGCGUCUAGGAGCAGACCUGGGGGAAGUUAGUCAGCGGAGCUGCGGUGGAGUGGCUCCGUGGUGGAGUCGCUUCAGGUGGGCCCUGGAGGAGCUGCAGAGGAGGAACGUAUCUCUUUGAUUAAAGCAAGAGUCCUGGUAGAUAAAACUGGAAAAUGAGAAGCAGCUCCACGUGAAGAAGCCAAACAGAAAAAUCAGGGACAAUGGCGAAGACAAGGUGCAUUGAUGCCACAUUUCAGGAGGGUUGCAUCUGCUGCCAGCACGCUGCCUGUGUCAUGUAUGGGGUGUUAGGUGUGGGGACCGCAUGCUCGUCCAUCCUGGGAGGAUCAGUUACCAGUUACCUGGAAUCCCUUGAUGGCUGCUGCCAGACUUAAACUCAGUGCUUGAAAGAAGAAGAUAAAUUCUCCAUUUCAAAAGAAAAUCCAGGACAGGACAGUCUUACUGUCAGCUGGACGUGCCCUGUCCCGUGCGCACUCUGUGCUUUGCUGAUCCGUCCGCCUGUUGCUGCCCCAUUUGGCUGUUGUGAGUCACGCUGCUACGACUGUUUCUUUAUCUGCAUUUGUCUGGAUGCUCUUGGCAGUGCUUCUGGGUGCAUAGAUAGAAGUGGAAUUUCUGGCUCCCCUGGGAAUCUCAUGUUUAAUUUACUGAAGACCAACGAACUGUUUUUGUUUCUUUGAGACGGAGUCUCACUCUGUCACCCAGGCUGGGGGGCAGUGGUGAGACCUCAGCUCACUACAGCCUCCGCCUCCCAGGUUCAAGCGGGCUCCUGCUUUAGCCUCCUGAGUAGCCAGGGUUACAAGCGCCCGCCACAUGCCUGGCUAACUUGUCUUUUUAGUGGAGACAGGCUUUCAUCAUGUUGGUCAGGCUGGUCUUGAACUCCUAACCUCCAGUGAUCCCAGAGUGCUGGGAGUAAAGGCAUGAAUCCCUGUGCCCAGCCCCAACGCAUGCUUUUAAAGCAGCAUUACCGUUGUACAUUCUCAGCAGUGUUGUCCAGGGAGUCUGGUUUUCACAUGUUCUUGCCGGCACUUACUUUCUGUCCUUUUCAUCAUGGCCGACUUGGGCUUCAAGUCAUCCCCCCACUUUGGCUUCUCAGAGUGCUGAGGUUACACCCUUGUUGAAGUCCGCUGCCCACAGGUGUGUGGGUUUAUUUCUGGUCUCCAAGUGGACCAUCCAGUCUCGUAUGUGUCCUUGUGACAGUGUCCUCACUGGUGGAUGUGAAGUGGGAACGCCUGUGGGUUUAAUUUCCCUAGUGAUCAGUGAUCCUGAGCACCUUUGUAUGUGCUUAUUCGCCAUUUCUGUCUCAUCUUUGGAGAAAUGUUUACUGACAUUCUUUACCUUUUUUUCCUUUUAAGAGACAGGGUCUCACUUUGUUGCCCAGGCUGGAGUGCAGUGACCAUCAUAGCUCACUGCAACCUCGAACUCCUGGGCUCCAGCCAUCCUUCCACUUCAGCCUCCUGAGUAGCUGGGAAUACAGGUGUAUAUUUUUUAAUUUUUUGUGGAGAUAGGGUCUCACCAUCUUGUCCAGGCUGGUCUCAGACGCCUGGGCUCAAGUCAUCCUUCCACUUUGGCUUCUCAAAGUGCUGGGAUUGCAGGUGUGAGCCGCCCCGCAUGGCCCUUCACCUGGUUUUAAUUGGGUUGUUUGUUUUUUGCUGUUGAGUUGUAAGAGUUUUUGUGUAUUCUGGAGACUAGACCCCUAUCUGUGGGUUGUCAUCUUGUUUUCUUCAUGGUGUCCUUUGAAGCACAAAAGUUGUCGGUUGAUCUCUUUUACCUGAGUUCAGUUGAUGUGUUUUAUCUUCGGUUGUUUGUGCUUUUCCUGUGCUUGUUUUUUAAAACCAUUAUCUGCCUGUGGGUCCAGCACUUUGGGAGGCUGAGGUAGGAGGAUCACUUGAGGACAGGAGGUUGAGACCAGGCUGGGACUCAAAGCCAGACCCUGACUCUACAAAGAAUUUGAAAACCAGCCAGGCAUUGUGGUGAGCACCUGCCGUCCCAGCUGAGGCAGGCGAAGUAGAAGGCUUGCCUGAGCCCGGGAGUUCAAGGCUAGAGUGAACUGUGAUCGUACCACUUUGCUGCAGACUGCGUGACAGAGUGAGACCCGGCCUCAACAGACCCCCCCCAGAAACCAUGAUCUAAUUCAGGGUCAUAAAGAUUUACACCUGUGUGUUUUUUUUUUCCCUAAGAGUUUUCUAGCUUUGGCUCUUGCAUUUAGGUCUUUGGUCCACUUUGAGUUAGUGUUUCCUGUGGUGUGAGCAAGAGGUCUGCCUUCCUUCUAUGCCUGUGGAUAGUCGGCACCCCUUGUUGAAAAGCCUGUUCUUUCCCUGUUGAGUGGUCUGACACCCUUGUUGAAGUCAGUUCCACAGGUGUGUGGGUUUACUUCCGGACUCCCAGUGGACCCUCCAGUCUCCGUGCCCACUCUCUUCAUCACUGUAGCUCUGAAGUUUGGAAAUCAGGAAGCAUGACUCCUCUAACUUUGUUCUUGUUAAGAUUGUUUUGAGCCUGGGUCAAACACGAUGGGUCCCUUGUAUUUCCGUGAACUUUACGGUCAGGUUGUCAAUUUCUGCAAAAACACCAGCUGGAACUGUGAUGGGGACUGGAUUGAGUUUCCAGGAAAACUGAUGGGGAUAUUGAGCUUUUCGAGGAAUACUGCUGUCCUAGCCACGUGGAGUCAGCCAGCCCGUGAGCGCAGGAUGGCUGUUUAUUCAGGCUGCCUUUAAUUUCUUUGGCAUUGUUCUACAGUUUUCAGAGUAUAAGCUUUAUCUCUCUUUGGUUAAAUUUAUUGCUCAGUAUUUUAUUUUUUGGUGCUAUUAUAAAUGGAAUUGUUUUCUUUUCUUUCUUUCUUUUUUUUUUUGAUACAGGGUCUCACUCUGUCCCCUAUACUGGAGUGCAGUGGCACGAUCUCGGCUUACUGCAAACUCCACCUUCCAGGCUCAAGUGAUUCUCGUGCCUCUGCCUCAGCCUCCCUAGUAGCUGGGAUUACAGGCAUGCACCACUACUGUCUGGUUAAUUUUUGUGUUUUUAGUAGAGACAGGGUUUCACCAUGUUAGCCAGGCUGGUCUUGAACUUCUGAGCUGAAAUGAUCCACUCACCUUGGCCUCCCAUAGUGCUGGAAUUACAGGCAUGAGCCACCACACCCAGCCUUUUAAAAUUAAUUAAUUUAUUAUUAUUAUUUUGAGACAGAGUCUCGUUCUGACACCCAGGCUGGAGUGCAGUAGCAUGAUCUUGGCUCACUGCAACUUCCGCGUCAUGGGUUCAAGUGAUUCUCCUGCCUCAGCUUCCUGAGUAGCUGGGACUACAGGUGCCUGCCACCACAUCCAGCUAAUUUUUGUAUUUUUAGUAAAGACAGGGUGUCACCAUGUUGGCCAGGAUGGUCUUGAUCUCCUGACCUCAUGAUCUGCCUGUGUCGGUCUCCCAAAGUGCUGGGAUUACAGGUGUGAGCCACCACACCCAACCUUUUUUUUUUUUUAAUUUUUUUGAGACAGAGUCUUGCUCUGUCACUCAGACUGGAGUGCAGUGGUGCGAUCUUGGCUUAAUGCAACCUCCACCUCCUGGGUUCAAGCAAUUCUCCUGCCUCAGCCUCCCGAUAAGCUGGGAUUACAGAUGCGUGCCACUAGGCUCAACUAAUUUUUUUGUAUUUUUGGUAGAGACGGGUUUCACUGAGUUAGCUGGGAUGGUCUCGAUCUCCUGAACUUCUGAUCUGCCCGCCUCAGCCCCCCAAAGUACUGAGAUUACAGGCAUGAGCCACUGUGCCCAGCCCAGAAUUGUUUUCUUAAAUUCAUUUUCAGUUUGCUUGUAUCUGCUGGUUAGAAAUAUAUCUGAUGUUUGCAUAUUGACCUUAUAUUCUGCAACUGUGCUAAAUUUAUCUAUUUACUCUAAUCGUUUUUGUGGAUUCUUUAAGACUUUUUUUUUUUUUUUUGAGACAGUCUCACUCUGUCAUCCAGGCUGGAGUGUAGUGGUACAAUCUUGGCUCACUACAACCUUUGCCUCCCAGGUUCAAGCGAUUCUCCCACCUCAGCCUCCCAAAUAGCUGGGAUUCCAGGUGUGUGGCACUAUGCCCAGCUAAUUUUUGUAUUUUUUAAAGUAGAGGCGGAGUUCUGCCACGUUGGCCAGGAUGGUCUCGAACUCCUGACCUCGGGUGAUCCACCUGCCUCAGCCUCCCAAAGUGCUGGGAUUAUAGGCGUGAGCUGCAGCACCUGGCCUGGGAUUUUCUAUAUACAGGAUCGUGUCAACCGCAAAUAGAGAUCAUAAUGUACUUCUUUCUUUCUGCUCCGGAUGCCUUGUUUCAUCUGCUCACUUGUUUGUUCUGGUUAGAGCCUCCGGUAUGAUGUUGAAUGGUGGUGGUGAGAGUGGACAUCCUUGUCUUAUUCUUGAUUUUAGAGGGAAGCUUCCUGUUUUUGACCAUUGAAUAUGCAGUCUUUUAUUAGGUUAAGGAAGUGUCCUUGUAUACCUAGCUGUUUAGUGUUACCUGUAGUUUGAAAAGUCUGGGUGCUUUCUGUGUGUUAAAAAAAUUUUUG